rnacentral:lncRNA from 12 species
AUGGACUUUCCACCUGGCACUACUAGCAACCAAUCACAUUUCAUUCAAAACAACUUAUGUAAAUGCCCUUUGUCUCUCCAGAGCACACCUGAUAUUAGUGACUCUAUGUCUCCCAGAUUGCAAACCCUAAGACCCCCAAUAAAUGUACAAAUUUUAUUUUACAGAUUGCAGUUCUGCCUUUCAAUAUUACAUGGUAUCAGGAGUGGGAUUCAAAGUGACCAGCAGUCAUCUCCAGCACUUGCUGCCAUCUCCAGCACUGCCAUGGAUUUGAGUAAGGCAUUAUGGAUGCCACUUGCAGCAGCCCCAGGAAAGCCCUGGAAGAAGCACUGGUGCCGGAGCAGGUCCUUAGCAAAGUGCACAAGCUCUAUGAAAUAGGAGGAUCUGAAAUGAGGAUGCCCUUUAUAAAUUAAUGAAACAGUGAAGCUUGCUAAAGAAAUUAAACGUUAAGCUAAAGAAUCUAUGAAGGAAAUUAUGAAGAGAAGUCUAUGUACAAUACAAUGAAAAUGAAUAAAAUACUGAUGAAUAAACCUAACCA